rnacentral:rRNA from 1 species
GACGAACGCUGGCGGCGUGCCUAAUACAUGCAAGUAGGACGCAGUUGCGAACGGGAGAGUAACGCAUCGGUAACUGCCCAUUGGAGGGGGAUAACUAUCGGAAACGAUAGCCAAUACCGCAUACUAGUAGAUGCACCUGCGUUGUAUUAGCUAGUAGGUAGGGUAAUGGCCUACCGAGUCGACGAUACAUAGCCGACCUGAGAGGGUGAUCGGCCACACUGGGACUGAGACACGGCCCAGACUCCUACGGGAGGCAGCAGUAGGGAAUCUUCGGCAAUGGAGGGAAGCCUGACCGAGCAACGCCGCGUGAGUGAAGAAGGUUUUCGGAUCGAAAAACUCUGUUGUUAGAGAAGCGGUAACUAACCAGAAAGCCACGGCUAACUACGUGCCAGCAGCCGCGGUAAUAC